rnacentral:rRNA from 1 species
UGCGGAGGAUCAUUACCAUGNUUUACUUUGGUUCAAUGUUCUGUUUUUUUCUCGGAAGAAAUGGAAUUUUUGACACCAAUUUUCACCCUUUGUGUACCUUUUUACAAAAAAAAGUCAAAUAUUUUUGGCGAGACGCUUUUUUGGGUCUCUCAAAAAACCACUGAUUCUUUUUUUAUGAAGAGUGAGUGUGUUCUCGCCAAAAGAUUUGCACCAAAAAACUCUUGCAACUACCUUUUUUCUGUCUGAGUUUACAAAAACAAAAUAAAAUCAAAACUUUCAACAACGGAUCUCUUGGUUCUGGCAUCGAUGAAGAACGCAGCGAAAUGCGAUACGUAAUGUGAAUUGCAGAAUUCAGUGAAUCAUCGAAUCUUUGAACGCAUAUUGCACCUCUUGGUAUUCCUUGAGGUAUACCUGUUCGAGCGUCGUUUAGAACUUUAAGACUUUGUCUUGUGAUGAAUCUUGGUUUUUGGAAAUCCGAAAAACCAAUUUUCCAAACGAAUGGGCUCUGGAAUGUCUUUUUUGAAAGUUAGUCUUGCCAAUUUUGCGCAUGUCAAAAAUGUGCUCUUUUGUUGGUAUUUGGACAUUUCAACAUUUCUACGCCAUUUCUUUUUUUUACCAUCUAAAAAGUUCGACCUCGAAUCAAGUAAGACUACCCGCUGAACUUAAGCAUAUCAAUAAGCGGAGGAAAAGAAACCAACCGGGAUUGCCUUAGUAACGGCGAGUGAAGCGGCAAUAGCUCAAAUUUGAAAUCUGGCACCCGCCCGAAUUGUAAUUUGUAGAGGAAUGUUCGGUGAGACCUCAGUCCGAGUCUUCUGGAAGGAAGCGCCAAUGAGGGUGAGAGCCCCGUAGGAUGACAGGUCGAGCCAUGUGUACGUCCUUCGAAGAGUCGAGUUGUUUGGGAAUGCAGCUCAAAAUGGGUGGUAAAUUCCAUCUAAAGCUAAAUAUUGGCCAGAGACCGAUAGCGCACAAGUAGAGUGAUCGAAAGAUGAAAAGCACUUUGGAAAGAGAGUGAAACAGUACGUGAAAUUGUUGAAAGGGAAGCGCUUGCAACCAGACUUGACCUUGAUGUUCAGCUGCUCGUUGAGUAGUGUACUUCAUCAGAGACAGGCCAGCAUCGGUUUCUUGGGAUGGAUAAAAUCAGAGGGAAUGUGGCUCCUCGGAGUGUUAUAGCCCUUUGAAGAAUACGUCCACAGGAGACCGAGGACCG